rnacentral:rRNA from 1 species
CCUACGGGAGGCAGCAGUGGGGAAUAUUGGACAAUGGGCGAAAGCCUGAUCCAGCAAUGCCGCGUGAGUGAUGAAGGCCUUAGGGUUGUAAAGCUCUUUUACCAGGGAUGAUAAUGACAGUACCUGGAGAAUAAGCUCCGGCUAACUCCGUGCCAGCAGCCGCGGUAAUACGGAGGGAGCUAGCGUUGUUCGGAAUUACUGGGCGUAAAGCGUACGUAGGCGGUUAUUCAAGUCAGAGGUGAAAGCCUGGAGCUCAACUCCAGAACUGCCUUUGAAACUAGAUAGCUAGAAUCUUGGAGAGGUGAGUGGAAUUCCGAGUGUAGAGGUGAAAUUCGUAGAUAUUCGGAAGAACACCAGUGGCGAAGGCGACUCACUGGACAAGUAUUGACGCUGAGGUACGAAAGCGUGGGGAGCAAACAGGAUUAGAUACCCUGGUAGUCCACGCCGUAAACGAUGAUAACUAGCUGUUCGGGCUCUACGAGCUUGUAGUGGCGCAGCUACGACAUUAAGUUAAGUUCCGUCCGUCGGGUAGGUACGGUCGGCGAAGAAGUUAAAACGUUAACUAAAUUAGUUAAGUUAGUUACGGCGUGAGACGUUGCCGACGGACGACGACGAGGGGAGGAGG